rnacentral:tRNA from 1 species
CGGAGUGUAGCUCAGCCUGGUAGAGCACUGCGUUCGGGACGCAGGGGUCGAAGGUUCAAAUCCUUUCACUCCGACCA